AAACAGCACAAAGGGCACUCUUAUGCUGCUGUAAACCAGUGCCAGGAUUUUUAAAAUGUGAGACACCUGUUACCCUGUGCCCAGAUUUCAUAUUGUUCAAACACACAUGCUCUACAUACAAUUUGUGCAGUUAAUGCAAUCAUCACAAGGUCCUAGGCCGACCUACAGCCUCAGCUUACGAAGAUGACAAGAUUAAGAGAUUAAAGUAAAGACAGGCAUAAGAAAUCAAAAGAGUAUUGAUUAAGGAAGUGUUUAUGUUCUUCUGCCAUGGCUUCAGCCGGUCCCUCCAUUCAAGGUCCCUGACUUCCUGCAACAGGGGGCAAAGGACUCUUUGUCUUCAAAUUUCCCUCCACCUUGCUCAUCAUCAAGAGAGUGUGAAGAGGAGGAGAAAGGCUGAAGAGGAGGAGAAAGGCUAAGAUCUUUUCCAAUGCAAAAUUAGGAAAAAAUAUACUACAGAUUUAUGAAAAAAUAAGAAGUGAAAGUAUUCUCUGACUGCAAGUAUGACCACCUGUCUUUCUAUAUCAGGUUGAUAAUUUCUAACAUGUUCCUUUGUAAUUGUUUCUCAAUUUUGUGCUGAAUGUUGACCAUGUGCAUUUCCAUUUCUUCAACAAAAUCACAUUUGUCUUUAGAGCACUGUUGUUACUGUGCACAGCACUCUCCCCAUGCCUGAACUGUCAACAAUCCACUGAGUAGGACAUAUGCCCAGCUGUCUGACUAAAGCUGAGCAUUGUGGGCCGUGGCUUUCAAAUACUCCAGUGCUUUCACAGAUGAUCUGGGGAGGAAACUAGUGACUCCACACCUUUAAUUUAAUAAUAUUGCCCCAAACAAAUGAGUAAAACAGAGAAUAAAGAGGGCAAAUAAGUA
rnacentral:lncRNA from 10 species